rnacentral:rRNA from 1 species
GACGAACGCUGGCGGCGUGCUUAACACAUGCAAGUCGAACGCUGAAGCUCAGCUUUUGUUGGGUGGAUGAGUGGCGAACGGGUGAGUAACACGUGAGUAACCUGCCUCCUUCUUUGGGAUAACGCCCGGAAACGGGUGCUAAUACUGGAUAUUCACUGGUCUUCGCAUGGGGGUUGGUGGAAAGGGUUUUUCUGGUGGGGGAUGGGCUCGCGGCCUAUCAGCUUGUUGGUGGGGUGAUGGCCUACCAAGGCUUUGACGGGUAGCCGGCCUGAGAGGGUGACCGGUCACAUUGGGACUGAGAUACGGCCCAGACUCCUACGGGAGGCAGCAGUGGGGAAUAAUGCACAAUGGGCGCAAGCCUGAUGCAGCGACGCCGCGUGAGGGAUGGAGGCCGUCGGGUUGUGAACCUCUUUCGCUCAUGGUCAAGCCGCAACAAUGGUUGUGGUGAGGGUAGUGGGUAAAGAAGCGCCGGCUAACUACGUG